CGGUUAAACUUGCAGGCUUGUAAUAAUCGUCUGAACUUCUGAAGGGCAGUUCCUAGGACAAAAUACGAAGCCGUAAUAGUACGUCUCUCCGCAACAGAAGCGGAACUAUUUCGUACGCGGGCGACGAGUUUGACGAAGGAAUCGUCUGCGGCAGGAACCGAAGAAGGAGAUCUCCGUCCAGAAUCUUCCAGCCGCUCUCGUUUCCUCUGCUUUUGCUUUCCAUUUUGUUCUCUCUCAUCUCCUCCCCGUCGCCGACCAGAACACAGCCUCCUCCUCCUCUCCGUCUCAGACUCGUCUUCGAGCUCUAGGCCUUGCCGCCUCGAGUCCGGCUCCUGCAGGGAGCACCCGCCACCACCGCCGCAGAAGCGAAAGCGGCGUUCGCCUCAAGGAGGAGACUUCCGCCGCUGGAUUAGAGACCGGGAAAGGGAGGGGUUCCCUCCGCGCCGGGAUGGACGACGGCGAUAGUGUGGUCCGGAGCGUCGAGAAGGCUGGCGCCGGCCCGGGCGACGACGGCAGCACGACACCGCUCCCGGAGACGGUUCAAAUUGGCAAUUCACCCAGUUACAGAAUUGACAGAAAGCUUGGAAAGGGAGGGUUUGGGCAAGUAUAUGUUGGUCGUCGCAUUUCCUCUCCUAGUGUUAGUGACAGGACGCCCGGUGCGAAUGCUUUAGAGGUUGCAAUCAAAUUUGAACAUCGAACCAGCAAAGGUUGCAACUAUGGUGCUCCUUAUGAGUGGCAAGUUUACAACACUCUUAGCGGAAUUCAUGGCGUACCAAGAGUACACUACAAAGGGAAGCUGGGAGAGUAUUAUAUCAUGAUUAUGGACAUGUUGGGGCCAAGCCUAUGGGAUGUUUGGAAUAAUAACUCUCACUCUAUGCCUGUUGAAAUGGUGGCUUGCAUUGCUAUAGAAGCAAUUUCCAUACUGGAGAAGAUGCACUCAAAAGGGUACGUCCAUGGAGAUGUGAAGCCUGAAAAUUUUUUGCUUGGACCUCCAGGCACCCUACAAGAGAAGAAACUUUUUCUCGUUGACCUUGGUUUAGCUACCAGAUGGAAAGACACUGGUACAGGAGAGCAUGUUGAAUAUGAUCAGAGGCCUGAUGUCUUCAGAGGAACUGUUCGGUAUGCUAGCGUGCAUGCUCAUUUGGGGAGAACUGGAAGCAGGAGGGAUGACCUUGAAUCUCUUGCCUACACACUUGUAUUUCUUCUGCGUGGUCGCCUUCCUUGGCAAGGAUACCAGGGGGAGAAUAAAGGUUUCCUUGUCUGCAAGAAAAAGAUGGCAACUUCUCCAGAAUCUUUGUGUUGCUUUUGCCCACAACCUUUCCGACAAUUUAUUGAGUAUGUUGUGAACUUAAAGUUUGAUGAAGAACCAAACUAUGCAAAGUACAUUUCUCUUUUUGAUGGCAUUGUUGGUCCAAACCCAGACAUAAGGCCAAUCAAUACAGAUGGUGCUCAAAAGCUUGUAUUUCAGGUAGGCCAGAAGAGAGGUCGCCUUACGAUGGAGGAAGAUGAUGAUGAGCAGCCCAAAAAGAAGAUUCGGAUGGGAAUGCCUGCGACCCAAUGGAUUAGUGUUUACAAUGCAAGGCGGCCUAUGAAACAGAGGUAUCACUACAAUGUUGCAGACUGUAGGUUAGCUCAGCACAUUUCAAAGGGAAAUGAAGAUGGUUUGUUUAUAAGCUCCGUUGCCUCUUGUUCAAAUCUGUGGGCUUUGAUAAUGGAUGCUGGCACCGGAUUUACUUCUCAAGUGUAUGAACUGUCUCCAUAUUUUCUUCACAAGGAAUGGAUAAUGGAACAAUGGGAGAAGAACUUCUAUAUCACUGCGCUAGCAGGGGCAAACAAUGGUAGUUCACUGGUGGUCAUGUCGAGAGGAACACAAUAUGCCCAGCAAUCUUACAAAGCAGUCGUUGGGCAGUGGUCAUGUCCCGGAAUUCUGGCUUUUCGGCGCAGGUUGUGGAGCUUGACUUCUUGUAUCCAAGUGAGGGUAUCCAUCGACGAUGGGAUAAUGGAUUUCGCAUCACGGCUACUGCAGCUACAUGGGAUCAGGCAGCGUUUAUCUUGAGCAUCCCCAAAAGGAAACCUGCUGAUGAAACACAGGAGACUCUAAGAACGUCUGCUUUCCCCAGCCAGCAUGUGAAGGACAAAUGGGGGAAAAAUCUCUACUUAGCUUCCAUUUGCUAUGGAAGAACGGUGUCAUGAGGUCUGCCCAGUUUGGCUGGGGCACACUGUAGAGUUUAUUUAUAUGGACUACUGAAUUAUUAGAUUUGGAAUUUUGAACGACUAUAAUAAUAGUUCUAAUUUUCCCUAUAAUUAACCAAUCUGAUAGAUGCAGAAGCCUGUCUCUGUUCAGUUGAUAGUUGCGCUAGCUGCUUAGCAUGGCUGUAAAAAGAAUCUUGUGGUGUUUGGGUGUAGUACUUGUUUGUUCAUAGAUUGUUAAAGUUGUUGUGUUGUAAUUUGUAAACUUGAUUAUGUAUCAUGCAUAUAGUUUUAUACUGAUAUUUAACCCUGGAGGCAGGCAUCUAAGUUGUAUCUGCAUCUUGUUCUGUUGCUAUUUAGGCUUUACAAUGGGGAUCUUGUGCCACAUGUCUCGGGCUCUGUUUGUUUGUUAGACCCAUCCUUGCAUUGGAUAAUUUGGUUAUCUGUGUUAAAUAAAUCUAUCAUGUGAUUGUUUUCAUUU